rnacentral:lncRNA from 1 species
GACUCUGUUCGUGUGGACCUGUUCGUGUGCAUUUUAUAAUUUUAUGUAGGUACAACUAUUCUUUGUUCUAGCCAUUGUGUUUAUUAGAUUUGGUAAAUAGAAUUUUCUUAAUCUUAUUACAUUAGGAUUUGAUGGCGACAUGAAAUUCUAACUAAAUUUGCUAUUCAACUGGCAAUUGUAAUAAUUAUAUGUAUUGUAUAUGCAUGUACAGAGUUGUCUACACAACGGUCAGGGGCAUAUGCUUCUCCUGCCACCUACGUCUUCCUCCUAUUGUAGCCAGAAUCUUAAAUGAUCAGAAAUAUAUUGUCAUUUGCCAGGGCAUAAUGGCGUAUUAACGCUCACAAAUCUGCGAGGUGGCUGGCUGAAGAGCAGAUGCUGGUCAGCGCGAGGCUGCGGAAACACGAGCCUCAGGUUCUGUGCAUGCACUGAGGCGGCAGGGACGUCCUUGGUGAUGUUCAUAACCGACACCUUAAUCAUCUCGUAUGUAUCUUCUUGAAUCUGCAUCAUAAAUCCAGCCUUUCUUUUCUUUUGUUCAGACAUUGAGUCUUUCAUGGUGUUGCAGAUGCGGGCCGAGGCCAUCUCGCUGGCCCUCGGCAGCUCUUGUUUUUUUCACUGUCUCACCCGUCCUCGAUGCUUUGGUCGCCAUCAUCCUCUUUCACAAAGUGUCUGUUAGCACGUGUUACAGUCGGCUGUUAGUUUGUAGCCCGUUUCUCUUCUCUUUUCUCUUGUUUCUUUUCCAACUUAUCACACCCCGCCAACGUCAUCCUAUUGUACUUGCUCUAAGUAGUACUGAUGGGACUAUAAGGAGCAUGUUGUCUCUUCGUAACAACAAUAAUAUUCAAGAGUGUGGUACAUUAUCCAUUUAAUUUUGAGUUUUCUAAGAAAAUGUUGUUUUAAUUGAGGAAUAAUAAGCAUACAUAUGGUGUUUCCUGCACUUGGUUUUCUAUCUUGAGUUGGAAAAUAAGAUGUUGAGUGUGAGCAUUGUGCCAUACUUUAUAUAUAAUUUCCCGCCUAUUGAUUCAUAAUGAUGUGGUCCCUGAAUUUCUAUCAUGUCACAUGAUAGGUGAUGUACGAUGCUUUUCUUCUAUCAGUGUCGGGAAGCAAACAUGAAGUAUCUAACAAUUGCUUGCACGAGUAUGAUU